CCCGCUGAACUUAAGCAUAUCAAUAAGCGGAGGCAAAGAAACCAACAGGGAUUGCUCCAGUAACGGCGAGUGAAGCGGCAACAGGUCAAAUUUGAAAUCUGGCCCCCUCGGGGUCCGAGUUGUAAUUUGGAGAAGAUGCUUCGGGUGCGGCCCCGGUCUAAGUUCCUUGGAACAGGACGUCACAGCGGGUGAGAAUCCCGUACGUGCCCGGUGGUCGCUCCCGUGUGAAGCUCUUUCGACGAGUCGAGUUGUUUGGGAAUGCAGCUCUAAAUGGGUGGUAUAUUUCAUCUAAAGCUAAAUAUUGGCCAGAGACCGAUCGCGCACAAGUAGAGUGAUCGAAAGAUGAAAAGCACUUUGGAAAGAGAGUUAAACAGUACGUGAAAUUGUUGAAAGGGAAGCGCUUGCAACCAGACUUGCGCGCGGCCGAUCAUCGAGUGUUCGCACCGGUGCACUCGCCCGCGCGCAGGCUAGCAUCGGUUUGGGUGGCUGGACAAAGGCCUCGGGAAUGUGGCUCCCCUCGGGGAGUGUUAUAGCCCGAGGUGCAAUGCGGCCACCCCGGACCGAGGACCGCGCUUCGGCUAGGAUGCUGGCGUAAUGGUUGUAAGCGACGCGUCGUGAAACACGG
rnacentral:rRNA from 1 species